UAGGUCACAGUAUCUGCUUGCAUCAUGCUCAUCUUCAAACACUAGAACUCCCUCUCUGAUAUCUUCCACAAGCACCUGAAACUUUGUGCCGCCUCUUGAAUGUUUAGUUUUGUUGCCAAUUUCCAAUCCUCUCUUUCCUCCUUUAGAAAAUAAUUGCCCAAGUUCACUUUCAACUUCACUGCGACUUCUGCGUGUCUUCAUAGUCCAUAGCUGGUUAUCCCUCUGAGCCAGCACAUAUACAGGUUUUGUAUCUUCUCUCCAUGGAUUGGUCUCUAGCACGUCGUAUCCAAUUGAA
rnacentral:misc_RNA from 1 species